rnacentral:rRNA from 1 species
GACGAACGCUGGCGGCGUGCUUAACACAUGCAAGUCGAACGGUGAAGCGCCUUCCUUUUUGGUGGGUGUGGAUGAGUGGCGAACGGGUGAGUAACACGUGAGUAACCUGCCCCCUUCUUCUGGAUAACCGCAUGAAAGUGUGGCUAAUACGGGAUAUUCUGGGUCUGUCGCAUGAUGGGUCUGGGAAAGAUAUUGUUUCGGUGGGGGAUGGGCUCGCGGCCUAUCAGCUUGUUGGUGGGGUGAUGGCCUACCAAGGCGGUGACGGGUAGCCGGCCUGAGAGGGUGGACGGUCACACUGGGAAUGAGACACGGCCCAGACUCCGACGGGAGGCAGCAGGGGGGAAUAUGGCACAAUGGGCGGAAGCAUGAUGCAGCGACGCCGCGGGAGGGAUGGAGGCCUUCGGGUUGUGAACCUCUUUCGCCAGUGAAGCAGGCCUGCCUCGUUUGUGGGUGGGUUGACGGUAGCUGGAUAAGAAGCGCCGGCUAACUACGUG